rnacentral:rRNA from 1 species
ACUCAAAGGAAUUGACGGGGGCUCACACAAGCGGUGGAGGAUGUGGCUUAAUUCGAGGCUACGCGAAGAACCUUAUCCUAGUCUUGACAUGGUACGUUCAGGCGGUGAAAGCCGCUGGCCCGCAAGGGCGAGUACCACAGGUGCUGCAUGGCUGUCGUCAGCUCGUGCUGUGAAGUGUCGGGUUAAGUCCCUUAACGAGCGAAACCCUUGUCACUAGUUGCCAGCGGGUCAUGCCGGGGACUCUAGUGAGACCGCCGGCGUUAAGCCGGAGGAAGGCGGGGAUGACGUCAAGUCCUCAUGGCCUUUAUGACUAGGGCUGCACACGUCCUACAAUGGCGCGCACAAAGGGACGCGAACUCGCGAGAGCAAGCAAAUCCCAAAAAACGCGCCCCAGUUCGGAUUGCAGGCUGCAACUCGCCUGCAUGAAGCCGGAAUCGCUAGUAAUCGCGGGUCAGCAUACCGCGGUGAAUGUGUUCCUGAGCCUUGUACACACCGCCCGU